GCGACGGUGGUUCUUGUCUUUUGGCUCCCUGGGCAGCGUUCUUUUUCCUGCGUGCGCGUUAACAAUUAAUCAUCAGAGAUCAUCACAGAACCCAUGCCCUCCUCGCCUACCACUCUCAGUUCCCCUCGGGGAGGACUAAGGUUCUACUAAGAAGUUACCUGAUGUGACUGAGGGAAUUUCGCGUCCCUCCCUGCUCCCGGAGGCUUCCUCUGCAGACCCUCUGACCCAUUUCUGCGCGCCCCCGAGCGUUUGUGCUCCAAGUGUCCUAAGGUUGCACUUUACUCGUGGCUCCUUGGAGAAGGCAUAUGGGGCAUAUGAAUUCUGGCCCCAAACCAGAGAGAAGGCUUGUUGAGAAUACUCAAGGAAAGAAUUUUCUUUUUUCCCUUUUAUCCAGGACAAAGGCCAAGAAAGGCAGAUUUGGUCUAUGGAGUCACCAGUUUGAUAUAUGAUCUAUGAUACAGAGUGAGAAGAGGACAAAGAAAGAAACCUGAGAACAGUUAAAGAAUGAGCAGAAAAAGAGAACUCCACUAAGAAAAGUGGUAGGAGAAACAUAAGAGGACAGGAAUUUGAUGAGAUAUCUGCCACUGUCUCUCUAUCUCUCUCAGAAAUGCACCAAGACCCCCUAAACACCACCAUACGGAAAUGAUAUUUGAACAGCUUAAGAUAAAGAUAAAGAUGGCAACUGGGGCUUCUCUGGUGGCACAGAGGUUAAGAAUCCACCUGCCAAUUCAGGGGACACGGUUCAAGCCCUGGUCUAGGAAGAUGCC